ACUCCUACGGGAGGCAGCAGUGGGGAAUAUUGCACAAUGGGGAAACCCUGAUGCAGCCAUGCCGCGUGUGUGAAGAAGGCCUUCGGUUGUAAGCACUUCAGUAGGGAGGAAGGUAGUGUAGUUAACACCUGCACUAUUUGACGUUACCUACAGAAGAAGCACCGGCUAACUCCGUGCCAGCAGCCGCGGUAAUACGGAGGGGUGCGAGCGUUAAUCGGAAUUACUGGGCGUAAAGCGCAUGCAGGCGGCCUGUUAAGUCAGAUGUGAAAGCCCGGGGGCUUAACCUCGGAAUUGCAUUUGAAACUGGCAGGCUAGAGUCUUGUAGAGGGGGUAGAAUUUCAGGUGUAGCGGUGAAAUGCGUAGAGAUCUGAAGGAAUACCAGUGGCGAAGGCGGCCCCUGGACAAAGACUGACGCUCAGAUGCGAAAGCGU
rnacentral:rRNA from 1 species